GAUGAACGCUGGCGGCGUGCCUAAUACAUGCAAGUCGAGCGAACAGACGAGGAGCUUGCUCCUCUGACGUUAGCGGCGGACGGGUGAGUAACACGUGGAUAACCUACCUAUAAGACUGGGAUAACUUCGGGAAACCGGAGCUAAUACCGGAUAAUAUAUUGAACCGCAUGGUUCAAUAGUGAAAGACGGUUUUGCUGUCACUUAUAGAUGGAUCCGCGCCGCAUUAGCUAGUUGGUAAGGUAACGGCUUACCAAGGCAACGAUGGGUAGCCGACCUGAGAGGGUGGACGGCCACACCGGAAAUGAGACACGGUCCAGACUCCUACGGGAGGCAGCAGUAGGGAAUCUUCCGCAAUGGGCGAAAGCCUGACGGAGCAACGCCGCGUGAGUGAUGAAGGUCUUCGGAUCGGAAAACUCUGUUAUUAGGGAAGAACAAAUGUGUAAGUAACUAUGCACGUCUUGACGGUACCUAAUCAGAAAGCCACGGCUAACUACGUG
rnacentral:rRNA from 1 species